CUUGUACUCCCUCCGUCUGAAAAUACUUGUCAUUGAAAUGGAUGUAUCUAGAUGUAUUUUAGUUCUAGACACAUCCAUUUUGAUGAAAAGUAAUUCUGGACGGAGGGAGUACUUG
rnacentral:pre_miRNA from 1 species